rnacentral:tRNA from 1 species
GGUAGACGCUACGGACUUAAAUAAUUUGAGCGUUAGUAGAAAAACUUACUAAAUGCUAGCUUUCAGAUUCAGGGAAACUUAGGUUGAUAAAAAUAUAAGCAAUCCUGAGCCAAAUCUUAUUUCGUUUGAAAAUAAAAUAGGUGCAGAGACUCAAUGGAAGCUAUCCUAACGAAUAACAUUUUAAAAAUUAUUUAAAAUUUAUUUUUUAGAUAUUAAGCGAGGAUAAAGAUAGAGUCCAAUUUUACAUGUUAAUUUUAGCAACAAUUUAAAUUGUAGUAGAAAGAAAAUCCGUUGGCUUUAUUGACCGUGAGGGUUCAAGUCCCUCUACCCCCA